rnacentral:rRNA from 1 species
CACGUAGGGUGCGAGCGUUGUCCGGAAUUAUUGGGCGUAAAGAGCUCGUAGGCGGUGUGUCGCGUCGGCCGUGAAAACCUGCAGCUUAACUGUGGGCUUGCGGUCGAUACGGGCAUCACUGGAGUUCGGCAGGGGAGACUGGAAUUCCUGGUGUAGCGGUGAAAUGCGCAGAUAUCAGGAGGAACACCGGUGGCGAAGGCGGGUCUCUGGGCAACAACUGACGCUGAGGAGCGAAAGCGUGGGAAGCGAACAGG